GGAAGUGGAUAGUCACUCCAGAGUUUGUUCUGCUCCCAGAGGCUUCAUAUGAAUUAAACUUAACAGCUCAGAUUCCUGAAACACCCAAUCCACUGAAAACAUGGAGAGAGAGAGAGAGAGGGUGUCUAAUGGCACUGUGUCUGGAGCUUUUCAGGACUGGGUAGUGCUCAUUGACAUUGAUGAUCCAGCGAGGAGAAGUGUGUAUGUCAGGUCAGGAUGUGCACAGUGACAAUUUUGUACAACAUGCCUUCAGAAAUGUCGUUGAUGUAGUUGGAGGUUCAUGGUGAAACUGCUAAUGGGAAUUCUUACAAACCACAUUUUGUUUGCAGGAUAUUAAAAGCAGGCAGAGCUGUUGUCAUCACAGACUGGUCGACUUCAAAUGAUGUAACUCACGUGAUAACCACAAAUACAUCCAAAGAUAAAGGCGAGAAGUGCAGAAUCCCUCACUAUAGUGUCAGCUAUGUAGCCAAACAUCUUUUUGGGCAUGUUUGCUCAGUUAAACUGGUCCUGUAAUUUGGAGUCCUUCGAUGAACAAGAGAGCUGUGAAAUGGCCAUCGAUGUUGCUGUAAUCAUUGAGUCUAUGGAUGUUACUGAUGACAUUUCACAAGAAGAAUUGGAGGAAAUGCUCAAAGAAUACAUCAUAAUAAUGGAGCAACGGAAGAAAAUGCUUUUGACAGUCCCAGAGUUCUACAGCUACUGCACACCCAACCUGCCAGUUCAGAUUCAGCAAUGUGCAGAGCUUGGUAGAGUGUGCUUCUUCCCUCAAGCUCUGGAGGAGAUUCUGGGGUCCCUGCAGCCUGGAGUGAUGCCCCCAGUCACACACUGCAUGUUGAUGCAAAGCCAUUGUACCUCAGCAUGUUUAUCACAGUUCUCCACAGUAUCCUGCACAGCAAUCCUACCUGGGGUUCUCCUGGACACACAAAGUACUUUCUCCAGAUCCUGCAGUGUCCAGAAUAGUGUGUCUAGCAAGCGAACCCACCUGUCACUCACUGCCAAGCCCACCAUCCACUGA
rnacentral:lncRNA from 1 species